UGCCUGCUCCCGAGUCUGACUGCGGAGCGCUGCCCGGCCGCGAUGGGCAGCGGUGGCGGCGGCGUGGGGAGCAAAGUUUGCGGUACUCGGACUCCGCGCUGCCCGCGGCCCUGAUGCCCGCGGCGGGAGGCGGCGCCUGAAGGCAGCGGGGCGCCGUGCUGCGCUGCUGCCGGCGCGGCUCUUGCAAAGUUUCAGCUAUUUUAAUGUCCUAAAGCCCAGGAUUCUAAUUAUCAGCCCUCCCUACCCCCAUCUCUCCUUCUAGGUAGGCGACAAAUAUUUUUAUUCUGUGGAUUAGAGAACUUUUUGCAUGGAAAUUUACUGACUUCCGAGUGGUCUCCGUUUCGGGGAAAGGAUUUAUUUUCAUCGCAGUUUAUUUUUGUUUUCUGGAUCACAGGAUUUUGGAGCUAUAUGGAGGGAUCUCAGGAUGGUGUGCACCAGGAAAACCAAAACUUUAGUGUCCACUUGCGUGAUUUUGAGUGGAAUGACUAACAUCGUCUGCCUGCUGUACGUGGGCUGGGUCACCAACUACAUUGCCAGUGUUUAUGUGAAAGUGCAGGAGCCGAUCUCAGAAAAAAAGUUAGAGGAAGACAAAGGGGACACUUUAAGGAUUAUAGAAAGGCUGGACCAUUUGGAAAAUGUCAUCAAGCAGCACAUCCAAGAAGCUCCACCAAAACUGGAAGAAAAUCCUGCUGAGGCAUUCACUGACUCGUCUCUCUUUGCUCACUGGGGCCAGGAUCUCAGUCCUGAAAACAGACGGAUCGCACUGAAACAAUUCCAGUAUUAUGGCUACAACGCUUACCUGAGUGAUCGCUUGCCACUGGACAGGCCCUUGCCUGACCUUAGGCCUAACGGGUGCAGAAACCUUACAUUUCCUGAGAGGCUUCCCGAGGUCAGCAUUGUAUUCAUCUUUGUUAAUGAAGCUCUCUCAGUGAUUCUGCGCUCCAUCCAUUCAGCCAUUGACCGGACUCCUGCUCACCUGCUCAAAGAAAUCAUUUUAGUUGAUGAUAACAGUAAUAAUGAAGAACUCAAGGAGAAACUAAAGAAGUAUGUUGAUGAAGUGAAUGCCCGUAAGCCUGGUUUCAUCAAGGUUGUUCGACACAGCAAACAAGAGGGACUGAUUCGAUCUCGAGUUAGUGGAUGGAGAGUAGCCACAGCACCAGUAGUUGCUCUCUUUGAUGCCCAUGUGGAAUUCAAUGUGGGAUGGGCUGAACCAGUGCUCACCAGGAUAAAAGAAAACAGAAAAAGAGUAAUUUCUCCAUCAUUUGAUAACAUUAAGUAUGAUAAUUUUGAAAUAGAGGAGUAUCCCCUCUCAGCACAGGGGUUUGACUGGGAGCUGUGGUGCCGAUACCUGAACCCUCCUAAGUCAUGGUGGAAACUGGAAAACACAACUGCUCCAAUAAGAAGUCCUGCAUUGAUUGGAUGCUUCAUAGUAGAUAGAGAAUAUUUCCAAGAAAUUGGCUUACUGGAUGAAGGCAUGGAAGUAUAUGGAGGAGAGAAUGUAGAGCUCGGGAUCAGGGUAUGGCAAUGUGGAGGAAGUGUUGAGGUUCUGCCUUGCUCCAGGAUUGCCCACAUUGAAAGAGCACAUAAACCAUACACAGAAGAUCUAACUGCUCAUGUCCGGAGAAAUGCACUAAGGGUGGCUGAAGUCUGGAUGGAUGAAUUUAAGAGCCAUGUCUAUAUGGCAUGGAACAUACCCCAGGAGGACUCCGGAAUUGAUAUUGGUGAUAUUUCUGAGAGGAAGGCCUUGAGGAAAAAACUCCAGUGCAAGACCUUUAGGUGGUAUCUUGUCAGUGUGUACCCAGAAAUGAGAAUGUAUUCAGAUACUGUCGCCUAUGGGGUGCUGCAGAAUUCCCUGAAAAGUGAUUUGUGCCUUGAUCAAGGGCCGGACACAGAGAAUAUCCCAAUCAUGUAUAUCUGCCAUGGAAUGACACCACAGAAUGUUUAUUACACAAGCAAUCAGCAGCUCCAUGUGGGUGUUCUGAGUCCCACUAUCGACGAUGAUGACAACAGAUGCCUGGUGGAUGUGAACAGCAGGCCCAGGCUCAUUGAAUGCAAUUAUGCCAAAGCCAAGAGAAUGAAGCUUUACUGGCAGUUUACUCAGGUGAAAACAAAACUCUGUCCUGAUCAAGUCAGUACAAGUUGCAUCUUUAAUUCCAGUGGAAACAAGAACAACAUACAUCUCGAAGCAAGCCUAGAUCAAAGCAGAUAAAUCAAGCCUGACUUGUUUGCAGAAGUCAUUUAUAUGUAAUGUCAGAAAGAAAGAGGAAAAGGGAGGUCCAAUCCAGAACAGAAAAUCCAAGCGUUGCCUGGAAUUGCAGGAAAACAAUGAAAAUGAAUUUGGAUUUCAACUCGUCCUUCAGAAAUGCACUGGACAACGCUGGUCUAUAACAAAUGUCCUGAAAAGCUUGUCAUCAUAGCAGACUAAAUUUUUUACCCAUUUCUUUUGCUACUGUGUAGCAAAUACUGCAUUGUUGCCUGCUGUACUGUAGUCCUCUUGCCCCUCUACACCCACCCACCCCACCACCCCCGACCCUGGUUUCUCUUCUCCUCUCUUUUUUCCCUUUGAUUUUAUUUUGUGAGUGUGUGGAAAUUGGGUUUGUGGGCUGAAAAUAAGACGUUUUUUAUUUCACACUGAUGUUUUCAUGGCAUUUAUAGAGACAUUGAAUGACAGGUGAUGGGUAGGCUAUCCUAAAAUAUUUUACAACUGUAAAUAGGAAACAAAUGGAAAAUAUUUAUAACUCAAACUUUUAUUGAAUAAAAAAGUCCAAACACUGU